AACUACAACGGAGACUUUUAGCCGAGUCCGAAGCUAUUUCUUUUUCUUUCUCCAGUUCCCCACACUCCAAACGACUUCCAUUUGUCUCUCUCCUUCUCUCUGCUUCUUCUUCUUCUUCUUCUUCUUCUUCUUCUUCGCCAUACACUAUCCCUCUUAAUCCUCCAUUUCUGAAUCUAUUUCAAUCUCUCUCUGAUUUCCUUAUUCAAGACUCUCUGAAGAUGAUCAACUCUUCUCUUUUGCUCUGCAAGAUAUAGAAAUGGCGUUCACCAGAAGACAGGAAUGACAAUGAGCAGCACAGGAUUAUAGAGUAAAUUAAAAUUAUUAAGCCAAUAUAAUAUAAAGAAGAAACUAUAAGCAAGUAAGUAGAGAAAUGCGAACGCUUUGCGACGUGUGCGAGAGCGCCGCCGCGAUCCUCUUCUGCGCAGCCGAUGAGGCCGCUCUUUGCCGCUCUUGUGAUGAGAAGGUCCAUUUAUGUAACAAGCUUGCUAGCCGACAUAUUCGUGUUGGGCUCGCUGACCCUAGUGAUGUGCCCCGUUGUGACAUAUGUGAAAAUGCACCUGCUUUCUUUUACUGUGAGAUAGAUGGUAGUUCUCUCUGUCUGCAAUGUGAUAUGAUUGUGCAUGUUGGUGGUAAAAGAACCCAUGGGAGAUAUCUUCUAUUGAGGCAGAGGGUUGAGUUUCCAGGGGAUAAAUCUGGUCGUUUGGAUGAACUCGGACAGCAACCUCUUGAUCAAAAUGAAGUAAGGAGGGACCAAAAUCAGCCACCUAAACUCACAAUGAGAGACAAUAAGCAAAAUCACAGAGCAUCUCCCAUUCCAAUGAUGGAGAAUAACACCGAUGGUGAUGGCAAGAUUGACAACAAAUUGAUUGAUCUUAAUGCCAGGCCUCAGCGGAUACAUGGACAAAAUUCAAGUAAUCAGGAACAGGGUAUAGAUGUUGUGAGUGGUACUAAUCAUGAAUCUGCGAGUAUGGUUCCUGCUGGAUCCUUCAAAAGAGAGCCUGACAAGUAAGCAAGGUCUUCGCCCAUAAAUGGAGUGAUACUAGUAGGACUAUUGAACAAAAGUGGGCUGUCAGUAUAAUGUGCAGUUGCGAAGAAGUGGAGGAAAUAUUUAGUCACGUGUAGAUCCUCUCUAUUAAGUAUAUUUGACACAGACAUUUUUUACAGAAGCAGUGAUUGGCCAAAGAUGCCUUUGAAGUUGUGUAAUUAUUGAAUUUCAAUUCAACCAGCACCAUUGUUAAAUAUUAAUGAAGACACGAGCUGCCUUCAUCUACUUGCUCUCCUUGUUUCUGGUAUAUUUGGAUGCCUUGUGAAAUACAAGUUGAGUAGUUCAACCUGCUUUUUAGUCAUCAUCCCUUUGGCAAAGUUGUUUAGAUGGGGAGAAUUUCAGCCUGUUCCUGUAUAUCUAAAGUAAUAUAGUCUGUGUUUAAGAAAAUAAAACAACUGUUUGCAUUUGGUCCCAUUCACUGGCUGAACACACCCACUGCCUGCUGCUCAUUGCUUUAUAUUCAACAAACGUGGAGACACUUUUUUCCCCUUUUUUUUAAAAAAAAAAAAAAAAAAAUUU